UAAACCGCUCAAGUCGGAGCACGUUAUCAUUCUUGUUAGUUCUUAGCGAAUUCCCUCGAUAUGAUCAUUCUUUCAUCAGUUUGUUCCCCGUUUCUUCUCUAGCCUGAGCCCGACACACUAUUCUAGCUAGACAUGGGUGUGGCUCGUAACACCUAAUGACCAAACGGAUCUACGGCACCGUUGAAUCUCAAACUUUAACAGCCAAAAUUAUUGUUUUUCAUUAUGUAGUCUCUUUUAAAUUACUAAACGUCAUUUUUUGAGCUGAGAUAUCCAGGAACGCUUUCUCGGGGUUUUUGUGCACGUAUUUCAAAUCAUACGGACCUGAAAAUUAGAAGUCAUUCCAUCUUUAUUCCCCUAGAGCCUUCCAGCAGUUCCUAAACCGCUCCAGUUGGACCACGUUAUCAUUCUUGUUAGUUCUGAGUGAAUUACCUUAGUAUGAUCAUUCUUUCAUCAGUUUGUUCCCUGUUUCUUCUAUAGUCUGAGCCUAGCACACUACUCUAGCUAGACAUGGGUGUGGCUCGUAACACCUGAUGACCAAACAGAUCUACGGCACCGUCGAAUCUCAAACUUUAACUGCCAAAACUAUUGUUUUUCAUCCUGUAGACCCUUUUAGAAUUACUAAACGUCCUUUUUUGGGCUGAGAUUUCCGGGAACGCUUUCACGGGGUUUGUGUGCACGUAUUUUAAACCAUAUGGACCUAAAAAUUAGAAGUCAUUCCAUCUUUAUUCCCAUAGAGCCUAACACACUAUUCUAGCUAGAUAUGGGUGUGGCUCGUAACACCUGAUGACCAAACGGAUCUACGGCACCAUCGAAUCUCAAACUUUAACUGCCAAAACUAUUGUAUUUCAUCAUGUAGUCCCUUUUAGAAUUAUUAAACGUCCUUUUUUAGGGCCGUGAUUUCCAUGAACGCUUUCUUGGGGUUUCUGUGCAUGUAUUUCAAAUCAUACGGACCUAAAAAUUAGAAGUCAUUCCAUCUUUAUUCCCCUAGAGCCUUCCAGCAGUUCCUAAACCGCUUCAGUCGGAGCACGUUAUCAUUCUUGUUAGUUCUGAGUGAAUUCCCUUGGUAUGAUCAUUCUUUCAUCAGUUUGUUCCCCGUUUCUUCUCUAGUCUGAGCCUAGCACACUAUUCUAGCUAGACAUGGGUGUGGCUCAUAACACCUCAUGACCAAACGGAUCUACGGCACCAUCGAAUCUCAAACUUUAACUGCCAAAACUAUUGUUUUUCAUCCUGUAGUCCCUUUUAGAAUUACUAAACGUCCUUUUUUGGGCAGAUAUUUCCAGG
rnacentral:lncRNA from 1 species